UCUGAACUUAAAAUUCCCAUAUCACCCCAGC
rnacentral:piRNA from 1 species